UGUGUGUGUGUGUGUGUGUGUGUGUGUGUGUGUGUGUGUGUGUGUGUGUGUGUGUGUGUGUGUGUGUGUGUGCUUUUGUGCUUUUGUGCUUGUUUGUAUGUGUGUGACGUGUGUGCAUGCAGACGUUUCUGCGUGCAUGUGUUCCUGCGUUCUGUUGAUUUCUGCCAGAGAAGGAGUUAAGGGAUUGAGGGUCUACCCAGCAGGGAGGUUGUACUAUUGUGCCAUCCAGCCAUUGAAUUCCCACCGCAUGCACUCAUACAACCAGCACGUCUUUAUGCACGCUCCGAGCACGUCACUUGUUCAUCACAUUCAAAGCGGCAUCUGGGAUUCUCACGGCCGUUCCUUGGCGACGCGUGCCCAGUUGCUAGUGCACGGCUGAGAUGACUCCAUCACAGCACAGAGAUGUCCGCCUUGUUAGGUCCUCAGUGUCCGUGGAGACCGCUACGUUCCACUGGCUGAGCUCCCUCCUCAUCCUCCUCCUCCUCCUCCUCCUCCUCCUCCUCCUGCCUCCCACACAGUUGGGAGAUGGUAACAGAUGACAGAUAAUCAGGAUUACGUUUCACCGCGUGUCAUUGUAAUGAGCGCUGAUUGUGUUUGCUGAACUGAUUUUGGUGAUUACAUUUCUGUGGGUCACGUGAAGGGGCUGAUACGUUAUGAUAUGGCCCUUUUUCUUGUGGGGUUUUGAAUUAUAUUACUCUGAAUGGGUCUAUGGUGCCUUGCGGCAGGAUGCCCUUCCUUUUGACGACAUAGGCGGUUGCCUAGGACGCCAUCCGGAGGUGGGUGCAGAAAUGGCAUAAAAAAAUGUACAAUCUUUUUUUCCAAAGGCUAAAUCUAUCAAAAAGGAUUCAAACUGCAAACGUGGUAAUGAGCAAGGUAUGCAGUUUGUCUUGAAGCUAACAUCAUAUAUUCUUGCUAGUUAGCUACCUUAAGAAAGGCUGGGGUGCUCGCGGAGUAACAUAAAGCUAACAACAUUCAAAUAUAUGUCUUUCAGCCAAAACGGUCAUUAGUCUACUUGUAGUAAAACAUAUAAAGUUUGAGGUCAAUUGUACAGUAAUUUGACAUUUUCUUGGUGUGAUUGGUGUGAGGUUAGCAAUAAGCAUGCUUGGUUGUCUAUUUUGGGAUGGAAUGAAAUAAGCAUUGCGGCAGGCUUUCCUAAUGUAGGUUAGUAGUACUACUAAGUAAUGAGUACUACAUUUUUAUAAUUUCGAAAAACCUGUUCACGAUAGGCUACUAGUGCUUUUAAUAAGACCACCCAUGACACAUGGAUUGCAUAUUAAUUGUAUAGAAAUCAAUAACAAUUGCUAAGUUAUUGAAGAUGUGGGGCUAGAAUCUAGAUAUGCUGGGCUAGGGGCUCCGACCUGAUGGGGAGCUGAGACCGGUUUCUGGGCUCCGACCAGGUGGUGGUCUCAGACCAGGUGGAGAGCUCAGACCAGGUGGUGGUCUCAGACCAGGUGGAGAGCUCAGACCAGGUGGUGGUCUCAGACCAGGUGGAGAGAUCAGACCAGGUGGCGGUCUCAGACCAGGUGGAGAGAUCAGACCAGGUGGUGGUCUCAGACCAGGUGGAGAGCUUAGACCAGGUGGAGAGGUUAGACCUGGUGGAGAGCUGAGACCAGGUGGAGAGCUUAGACCUGGUGGAGAGCUGAGACCAGGUGGUGAGCUUAGACCUGGUGGGGUUGGUCUGAAACCUG
ensembl:lncRNA